GACAUGAUAAAAUGUCCAAACGCGCUCUGAUCACUCUCUCCCGGCGGAGAGCUCUGCGGAGAAUUUGGGCUUCACGAUCUACUGGCUCUUCAAGGAAGGGACACGCCAUGUCUGACACUUCCUACAGUCAGGUUUCCGACAAAGGGGCGGAGACAGUCAGGGUUAGUUGUAGUAAACCUGCUAGGGGGCAGGUUAGCUUCACGGCGUGUGUCGUCAUAGUGACUCACUCAGGCUUCAGCUGAACUCGCUUUGUGAAACCGAAAACCCAGAGUUUUCGUUAACUCAGGGUAUACUUACUCAGUUUUUCCACUAAACCGGCUUCCUGAAACAGGGCCCUGGCCCUAGACGGGUCGUAACAUGAAUCGUAACAGUAUAAAGAAAUGAAUGUUGGCUCCAGUACUGUAAUUUUUAAUGUAAGUGAGAGUGCGUGUGGAGGAGGUUGGGAGGUGAAUUAUGCAUCAGGUAUUUAGGGGUUGUCAAGUAAGAGCAGUAUGCUAGACUGAAUAUGAAAUGGAAUCAUGGAUAGACAGAAUAAGGGAAACUGCAAGUAGGCUAGUCAUACUUAAUACUUAAGCAUCUCCUCAACUUUUAUCUCUUGUACUCCUUUGCUUCUCCUGAGUUUAAACAGGUCAGUGAAGUUCUCUCAAUACUACUUCUCUAUGCAUCCACCAGAGCAUUAAAUAUUCAAAAAUUACUUAAAAAAAUAAAGACUCCCCCUAAAGUAUGAAAAAAAAAACAACCUAUUCUAACUUGGGUAACUUGUGUUCUUGCCUAACUCUGUCACUCAUUAUGAGUUGAGAAGAGUUAUCAAGGUGUCUGUACUUCCACACAUUACAAUAGAUGGAAUGGCAGGCUAUGAUGUAUAAUAAGGAAAACUGAAUAAAAGCACUGCAAGCAUGGCUCAGUCACAUGACUUCUUUGUCCACUGACCCCACACACCUCCCACAUUUACCCUGCCAUCUUACCAUACCCGUUACUAGACCCUGAAAAGUAUGUGUUGUAUCUUAAUUUGUGGUCAUUUGAUUGAACCCCACUAUUUUUUGGUAAAAACUC
ensembl:lncRNA